GGGGAUUUAGCUCAGCGGCAUAAGCGCCUGCCCUGUAAGCAGGCAGUCGUGAGUUCAAUCCCCG
rnacentral:tRNA from 1 species